rnacentral:miRNA from 1 species
AUAUUUUAUGUGGUUAACUUAACU